rnacentral:rRNA from 1 species
AUUGAACGCUGGCGGUAGGCCUAACACAUGCAAGUCGAACGAGUGGCGGACGGGUGUGUAAUGUCUGGGAAACUGCCCGAUGGAGGGGGAUAACUACUGGAAACGGUAGCUAAUACCGCAUACCCUCGGAUGUGCCCAUAUGGGAUUAGAUUGUAGGUGAGGUAAAGGCUCACCUCGGCGACGAUCCCUAGCUGGUCUGUGAGGAGGACCAGCAACACUGGAACUGAGACACGGUCCAGACUCCGACGUGAGGCAGCAGUGGGGAAUAUUGCACAAGGGGCGCAAGCCUGAUGCAGCCAUGCCGCGUGUAUGAAGAAGUCCUUAGGGUUGUAAAGUACUUUCAGCGGGGAGGCGUUACCCGCAGAAGAAGCACCGGCUAACUCCGUGCCAGCAGACGCGGUAAUUC